GAAGCCUCGUCAAUGCUUUUCUGUGUC
rnacentral:piRNA from 1 species